AACCUCCGCAAUGUGAGAAAUCGCGACGGGGGGAUCCCAAGUGCCAUUCUUAACGGGAUGGCUUUUCAUUAGUGUAAAGAGCUUUUGGAAUAAGGGCUGGGCAAGACCGGUGCCAGCCGCCGCGGUAACACCGGCAGCUCUAGUGGUAGCAGUUUUUAUUGGGCCUAAAGCGUCCGUAGCCGGUUUAAUAAGUCUCUGGUGAAAUCCUGUAGCUUAACUGUGGGAAUUGCUGGAGAUACUAUUAGACUUGAGACCGGGAGAGGUUAGAGGUACUCCCAGGGUAGAGGUGAAAUUCUGUAAUCCUGGGAGGACCGCCUGUUGCGAAGGCGUCUAACUGGAACGGUUCUGACGGUGAGGGACGAAAGUUAGGGGCGCGAACCGGAUUAGAUACCCGGGUAGUCCUAACUGUAAACGAUGCGGACUUGGUGUUGGGGUGGCUUUGAGCUGCUCCAGUGCCGAAGGGAAGCUGUUAAGUCCGCCGCCUGGGGAGUACGGUCGCAAGACUGAAACUUAAAGGAAUU
rnacentral:rRNA from 1 species